rnacentral:tRNA from 1 species
GCCUGGGUGGCUCAGUGGGUUGAGCGUCCGACUUUGGAUCAGGUCAUGAUCUUGCGGUUCGUGGGUUCGAGCCCCACGUCGGGCU